rnacentral:rRNA from 1 species
GACGAACGCUGGCGGCGUGCUUAACACAUGCAAGUCGAACGGAAAGGCCCUGCUUUUGUGGGGUGCUCGAGUGGCGAACGGGUGAGUAACACGUGAGUAACCUGCCCUUGACUUUGGGAUAACUUCAGGAAACUGGGGCUAAUACCGGAUAGGAGCUCCUGCUGCAUGGUGGGGGUUGGAAAGUUUCGGCGGUUGGGGAUGGACUCGCGGCUUAUCAGCUUGUUGGUGGGGUAGUGGCUUACCAAGGCUUUGACGGGUAGCCGGCCUGAGAGGGUGACCGGCGACAUUGGGACUGAGAUACGGCCCAGACUGCUACGGGAGGCAGCAGUGGGGAAUAUUGCACAAUGGGCGGAAGCCUGAUGCAGCAACGCCGCGUGCGGGAUGACGGCCUUCGGGGUGUAAACCGCUGUGUCCUGUGACGAAGCGUGAGUGACGGUAAUGGGUAAAGAAGCACCGGCUAACUACGUG